rnacentral:rRNA from 1 species
UACGUAGGUGGCAAGCGUUUGUCCGGAUUUACUGGGCGUAAAGAGCGCGCAGGCGGUCGUUCAAGUCGCGUGUGAAAGCCCCCGGCUCAACUGGGGAGGGUCACGCGAUACUGAUCGACUCGAAGGCAGGAGAGGGUAGUGGAAUUCCCGGUGUAGUGGUGAAAUGCGUAGAUAUCAGGAGGAACACCCGUGGCGAAGGCGGCUUCCUGGGGCCAUCCUGACACUGAGAAGCGAAAGCUAGGGGGAGCGAACGGG